rnacentral:rRNA from 1 species
AAUGAACGCUGGCGGCGUGCUUAACACAUGCAAGUUGGACGAGAAAGGCUGAUUUCGGUUGGCCGAGUAAAGUGGCGCACGGGUGAGUAACGCGUAGGCAACCUACCCUUGUAUUGGGGAUAACCCCGCGAAAGCGGGGCUAAUACCGAAUGAGACCCUGUUCUGGUGGGGACAGGGUGAAAGUCGGCCGCUCGGAGAAGCUGACGUACGAGGAUGGGCCUGCGUCCUAUCAGCUAGUUGGUGGGGUAGUGGCCUACCAAGGCGACGACGGGUAGCUGGUCUGAGAGGAUGAUCAGCCACACUGGCACUGGAACACGGGCCAGACUCCUACGGGAGGCAGCAGUGAGGAAUUUUGCGCAAUGGCCGCAAGGCUGACGCAGCAACGCCGCGUGGGUGAUGA